AGGAUCAAAUUAGGGUUAUGCAAGCAGUUGCAAAAAAAGAUAAUGAAAAUGUGAUGGAGAAAUUAGACAGAGUGCAAAGGAAACUAGAAAUGUGAUAUUAGAGUAGAUGUGAGUCGUGAUUGGGGCUAAUUUGGUAGAUAAAGGCAAGGGAAUCAGUUCUGUAGAAUAUGAGGGAGCGAGUACCGCUUGUUGCUUCUUUCGGAGGUAGGGGAAUUUUACCAAUACCUAGGGAAAAUGGGAAUCAGUCACAGAAGGAGUCUAAUAGUGCUAGAUCGAUAUUAAAAACUGAAGAUGGGCCUAAAAAGUUACCUAAAGUCCAACUUGUUACUAUUGAUGAGAAAGAACUUAGGGCUUGGAUUAGGAAAUAUAUCAAGUACUUUGAGGUUUAUGGAAUACCUAAGGAUCAAAUGGUAGGAAUUGCUAGUUUGUUUCUAAUGGAU
rnacentral:misc_RNA from 1 species